GGUGGAGCAUGUGGUUUAAUUCGAUGCAACGCGAAGAACCUUACCAAGGCUUGACAUGAACUGGAAAUACCUGGAAACAGGUGCCCCGCUUGCGGUCGGUUUACAGGUGGUGCAUGGUUGUCGUCAGCUCGUGUCGUGAGAUGUUGGGUUAAGUCCCGCAACGAGCGCAACCCUCGUUCUAUGUUGCCAGCACGUUAUGGUGGGGACUCAUAGGAGACUGCCGGGGUCAACUCGGAGGAAGGUGAGGACGACGUCAAAUCAUCAUGCCCCUUAUGUCUUGGGCUUCACGCAUGCUACAAUGGCCGGUACAAUGGGUUGCGAUACUGUGAGGUGGAGCUAAUCCCAAAAAGCCGGUCUCAGUUCGGAUUGGGGUCUGCAACUCGACCCCANGAAGUCGGAGNCGC
rnacentral:rRNA from 1 species